AGCAGGUGCAAUGUACAGGUAGUGCACAAUGCUCUUUCUGCAUAAUAAUAAACAGAUCAUCUAAAUGUUAAGAUAUAGAGUAGGAAGAUGAGCAUUGUGCCCAACCAGUUAUGGCACUGAUGAGCACAUGUACUUUGGGUUUUGAUUGUCAGAGUUACUCCCCUUUUUUACUAAUAUGCCAUUUGCCUGUCAUGCAUAAUGAAACUGACUGGGAAAAGUGGAAGAAAAGCACAGAUAUAUGAUAUGUAAAUGGGGGAAAAGCAAAAGAUCACAGAGAACCCUGUAUCUCGGUUUGGGUCUUCCUUGGUGGAAAUGUUUUGUCUGACAGCCGAUGGUUUAGUUUAAUACAGUCCACUUCAACCAGACUGGAGAGAAGACACAUGCAACUAUCUGGCACGAGAUUGUAGAUAGCAGUUAGUGGUGUAUUUCAAACUUUUGAUGAAGGAUGACAAAAAGUUGGACUUUUAUAGUCUGGUUUGAUUUUUAACUGCUUGAGUGACUGGUAAAACAAAUGAUAUCCAAUGGAGUACUUCAAAAGACAGUCUGGUUCUGUUUCUUCAUAGAACAUUGAAAAAGCCUUUCGCCUUGACAUUUAAGCAAGUGUAAAGAAUACCUUAUUGAAGUUCUUCAGUAGAGAGACCACAAAAAAUAGAGGGACAUGCUGUACUACAACUUGUCAAACAGACCAUUAUAGCUGUCACAAAAUGGAGCAAACACUCAUAUCUGAAUAAACGUCAAAGUGCUUAGCUUGAUUUCCUUACUAAAACAUGAUGUUAAUCAAAGUUUAAAAGUUAUACAAUUUUUGUAUGUUUUAGCCCUCUACAUGAAAACAGGAAUCAUUGUAAUUCGGAAGUGAUGUCAGUGAAGUUGGACAUAAAAAGACCACAGUAUGAUAUACUGUAAUUACCAGUGAAGGAAACAGCAGUGCCAUAAGAAACUAUUCAAUACAUGUAUUUGGAAAAAUUAAAAAUUUAUAAUAAAACUGAAGUUAUCAUGUACAGUAAUUAUAAUUCAGGAUUUCAGAGUGGACUGAUUUACUGAAACUAUUGCAGUUUAGUAGCCAAGCACUUUCUUAAACUGUUGUAAUAGAUCACAAUUUCUUAUAGAUUAUUAUCAAAAACUUUUUAUCAGAUAAAAGUGGCUGUUGACACCUUAUUUGUGACUAGUGAAUUAAAAACUAAUAACUAGUAAGAUUCUUCUGGGAAACAAAUUGUCAUAAUGCCUUCUGAGCACAAGCAAACGUCUUUAGAUAUAGUAAAACAUGUACUGUGUUAUCUCAGGUUAUACAAAUGCAUUUUUAUAUAGUAAAAGAACUACCUUGU